UACGUAGGCAGCGAGCGUUGUUCGGAGUUACUGGGCGUAAAGCGUGCGUAGGUGGUUCGUUAAGUCUGAUGUGAAAGCCCUGGGCUCAACCUGGGAAUGGCAUUGGAAACUGGCGACCUAGAGUGCGGUAGAGGGUAGUGGAAUUCCCGGUGUAGCAGUGAAAUGCGUAGAGAUCGGGAGGAACAUCCGUGGCGAAGGCGACUACCUGGACCAGCACUGACACUGAGGCACGAAAGCGUGGGGAGCAAACAGG
rnacentral:rRNA from 1 species